UACGUAGGGGGCGAGCGUUGUCCGGAAUGACUGGGCGUAAAGGGCGUGUAGGCGGUUGUCUAAGUCUGGAGUGAAAGUCCUGUUUUUAAGGUGGGAAUAGCUUUGGAUACUGGAUGACUUGAGUGCGGAAGAGGUAAGUGGAAUUCCCAGUGUAGCGGUGAAAUGCGUAGAGAUUGGGAGGAACACCAGUGGCGAAGGCGACUUACUGGGCCGUAACUGACGCUGAGGCGCGAAAGCGUGGGGAGCGAAC
rnacentral:rRNA from 1 species